UGGUGACAGUGCUGCAGGUGUUAAUGCAAGUGGUGACAGUGCUGCAGGUGUUAAUGCAAGUGGUGACAGUGCUGCAGGUGUUAGUGCAAGUGGUGACAGUGUUGCAGGUGUUAGUGCAUGUGGUGACAGUGCUGCAGGUGUUAGUGCAUGUGGUGACAGUGCUGCAGGUGUCAGUGCAAGUGGUGACAGUGCUGCAGGUGUUAGUGCAAGUGGUGACAGUGCUGCAGGUGUUAGUGCAAGUGGUGACAGUGCUGCAGGUGUCAGUGCAUGUGGUGACAGUGCUGCAGG